rnacentral:lncRNA from 1 species
AGAGGAAGGACCGUCCCCAGGCCCCGGGGCUCGACUGCAAGCCUUCUCCUUCUGCAACAGCGGCAAAGGCACUGCUGCGGUCCUCAGGGACUUCCUCUGGGCCCAAGCAGCCCCGAUACCUCGAGGGAAAGACGGUAAACCCAACCCGGUCAGCCGCGCCGGCUCCGCCCCUCUUCCCAGGCCCUUCCCGCUUUCGUACGCAGGGACUGCUGAAAUGACGCCGCCAGAACAACUUGAGCCUCAUACCACUUACCUGCACCGGUAGAGUUUUCCUCUUCUCUGGGUCCGGUCCUUUGAAGCGCUUCAAAU